ACUCGCUACACGUUCCACUCGCUUUCUAAGGUAUCCCUGAGCGAACUCUCAGUUCUACUCACUCAUUGGAAACUCCUUGCUCACUUCCCGGCUUCCAGCUCAAUGUUAACCAAGCUCUUCCAGUCCCUUUCCAAUGGCUUACAAUGUCCGAAACUCAUUUGUUAGAUCCACUUCCAGGUUUUCUGUUCCUCUUCCAGCAGCUCGAAAUUAUCCACACUCUUCCAGCGACUUCCAAUCA